rnacentral:lncRNA from 1 species
UGGGGUCAGUUCAGUGGGGUCACCUCAAUGGGGUCACCACUAUGGGGACAUCUUUAUGGGGUCACCUCAAUGGGGUCACUUCAGUGGGGUCACUGCAAUGGGGUCACCUCAAUGGGGACAACUUUAUGGGGUCACCUCAGUGGGGUCACCUCAGUGGGAUCACUUCAAUGGGGUCACCUCAAUGGGGUCACUGCAAUGGGGUCACCUCAGUGGGGACAUCGUUAU